rnacentral:lncRNA from 1 species
GAAGACGUGCAUUUGACCGCUCCUCCCUCCGCGUUGGAGGCGGAAUAGUGGGUUUUGCUGCAACCGGUUUAUUUUCCUUCUGUUUUCACCCAUUCGGGCACAAUCUGGCGCCAUCGUCCUUCUUGUGAGGCCAAGCCUGAAAAUGCGAAGCAGAGAGGCAGGACCAAAAUUGAGGCGAAUCCGGGAACCUGCCAAUGGGUCUCCGGGUGCGGUCUCUGAAACUGGAGGAUAUCGGGAGGAAAGGCUCUCCGAUGCGGAGAUAAUGGGGAAGCUCUUGGCAUGGUUGGCUGUAGGUAUGUGAUACCGGAGGAGCAGGAGUCAAAUAGGAUACGCCGACUUUUAAUUCAAGGAACCCUUUUCUGAAACACUUUGCCACAAUGAAGGAAAUAAGGUAAGGUUCUUGGGGCUCCUCAGUAGUAAUAGGGGCAGGGGACAAGGGGCAAUUAAGUGGUUUUGGUUGGGAAUGAGGCAUUAUGAAUAGCUUUCAGGAGAUAGAGCUUAGAACAAUGUCUUAGUUAUAAGUUCUUAUGUUUGAGGAAGAGAUUUCAAUUUGCUUAAAGAAGGAAACGGGCCAGUGGGUUUUUGUCUCUGAGAAGGAGAUCCUUAGCAUACAGAAAACAGAGAAGGGUUUGCAACUUUUCCGUUUCUUUGUAUAGCACACAAAAAUAAUUCCAAAUAUCCAGGCCUAACCAGAUUGCUUCUUUUUCCCCUUUGUGUUUACUUUGUCCAGAUUACAGCCGAAGAUACAUAUUAAGGAAUUGUACUCUCAGAGAUGUUGAGAAAAGAUACAUGGGUCUUGGAAGAUAAUUAC